rfam:Clostridium sp. CAG:75 genomic scaffold, scf691
UAAUACAAUCUGGGGAGCUAAGGAGAUUACUCCUAUGCUGAGAGGGACCUGUUCCGACCCAUAUACCUGAUCCGGCUAAUACCGGCGUAGGGAGAUGGAUUCCAUAUAUA